CAGCUCCUGGAAAUUGCCCAAGUCCCAGAUGAACAUGUCAGUGAAUUUAAGUCGAUAGAGAAGUUCAAAAUUUUCAAUACAAAUAACUUAUGGGUGAACUUAAAAGCAAUUAAAAGGCUUGUUGAGGCUGAUGCUCUGAAGAUGGAGAUUAUUCCCAAUCCUAAGGAAGUUGAUGGAGUA